UACGAAGGGGGCUAGCGUUGCUCGGAAUCACUGGGCGUAAAGCGCACGUAGGCGGCUUUUUAAGUCAGGGGUGAAAUCCUGGAGCUCAACUCCAGAACUGCCUUUGAUACUGAGAAGCUUGAGUCCGGGAGAGGUGAGUGGAAUUCCGAGUGUAGAGGUGAAAUUCGUAGAUAUUCGGAAGAACACCAGUGGCGAAGGCGGCUCACUGGACUGGUAUUGACGCUGAGGUGCGAGAGCGUGGGGAGCAAACAGG
rnacentral:rRNA from 1 species